ACACUCAUUUCCAUAGCACAUAUACCAAAAUUGGAACUACACAGAGAAGAUUAGCAUGCCUCUAUGCAAGAGUGACACGCAAAUUCAGGAAGCAUUCCAUAUAUUU